GCGGGUGUGGCGGAAUUGGCAGACGCACUAGACUUAGGAUCUAGCGCCUUACGGCGUGGGGGUUCAAGUCCCUCCACCCGCA
rnacentral:tRNA from 4 species